rnacentral:rRNA from 1 species
GAUUCCCCUAGUAACGGCGAGUGAAGCGGGAAGAGCUCAAAUUUGAAAUCUAGUAGCCUUCGGCUGCUCGAGUUGUAAUCUAGAGAAGUGUUUUCCGUGCCGGCCCAUGUACAAGUCCCUUGGAACAGGGCGUCAUAGAGGGUGAGAAUCCCGUCCUUGACAUGGACCCCCGGUGCUCUGUGAUACACUUUCAACGAGUCGAGUUGUUUGGGAAUGCAGCUCAAAAUGGGUGGUGAAUUCCAUCUAAAGCUAAAUAUUGGCGAGAGACCGAUAGCGAACAAGUACCGUGAGGGAAAGAUGAAAAGCACUUUGGAAAGAGAGUUAAACAGUACGUGAAAUUGUUGAAAGGGAAACGAUUGAAGUCAGUCAUGCUCUUUGGUAUUUAUAUCAUUGAGUGGGGUCAACAUCAGUUUUGAGCGAUGGAUAAAGGCACUAGGAAGGUAGCACUCUCGGGUGAACUUAUAGCCUAGCGUCAUAUACAUUGUUUGGGACUGAGGAACGCAGCAUGCCUUUAUGGCCGGGAUUCGUCCACGUACAUGCUUAGGAUGUUGACAUAAUGGCUUUAAACGACCCGUCUUGAAACACGGAC